GCUUUGGUCUCCGGGAUGAUGAUGUCAGUGCAAGGACUUUGGCUAUAUUUUGGCUUGCCCUUGCAGUUAAAUCCAGGUACAUCAGCAUCCAAGAAAGGAAGAAGACUAAAGGCAGCAUCCUCCCCAGCCAGUUCUGUUCUAGGCUUCUGUCUGUCUUACAUCUGCUCUGGGAGUGGUGCCUGUGUAGAAUGACGUCGAAAGGUGCUGGAACUGCUUUCUCAAGGAAGAACUACAGGCUGAGCACCGAGCCAGAGAAGUCCAAGGUUACAGGGAUCGUGAACAGUAGGCUGCUGAAUGAUUACCUGCAUUGUGUCUUUACCAGUGCUGAUGGGAACCAGCCUGCAGCUGCUUACAGAAAGCACCUGACGUUCCAGAACCUGCAGGAGCACCUUGACCGGUUGCUAGCAGAGAAGAGUGGCUCUGAAGACAGUCGAGAUCAGGUAGCAGAGGGCCGGCUUGGUCCAUCUACUGUGGUGUUGGACCACACAAGUGGUUUUGAGGGGCUUCUGCUGGUGGAUGACGACUUACUUGGGGUGAUUGGCCACAGUAACUUUGGGUCCAUCAGGGCCACGACGUGCGUGUAUAAAGGGAAAUGGAUUUACGAGGUGCUCAUCUCUUCCCAGGGACUCAUGCAAAUUGGCUGGUGUACUCUCAACUGCAAAUUUAAUCAGGAGGAAGGAGUUGGAGAUACACCAGAUUCAUAUGCAUAUGAUGGAAACAGGGUGCGCAAGUGGAACGUGACUACCACCAACUAUGGCAAAUCUUGGGCAGCAGGAGACAUCGUCAGCUGUCUGAUAGACCUUGAUGAGGGCACCAUUGCUUUCUGCUUGAACGGCAUGUCUCUGGGGACUGCUUUUGAUAACAUCACGAGGGGUGCUGGAAUGGCUUACUUCCCUGCCAUCAGUCUCUCAUUCAAAGAAUCCGUGGCUUUUAACUUUGGAAGCCGUCCACUCCGUUAUCCAGUGGAAGGUUACUGCCCUUUGCAAGAUCCUCCUGCUGCAGACCUAGUGAAGGCUCACAAGCUGCUAGGCUACUUGAAGAAUGUGAUCCAUAUUGGAAUAGAUGUGACAGAGGGGAAGCUAGUGGAGAAGGACACAUCCAUGUGGCAGCUUCAAGGAGAACCCACAGUGUUGAUUACAUUAGCCCACAUAUUCAAUUAUUUCUCCCCUCUUCUGUGCAAGGUGUAUCUGGUGGAAGAUGUGCUCAUGACCUUCCUGUUGAGCAUCCUUGAGCGAGGAGGGGCAGUGGAGGCCCAUCCCCUUAUUCAGCAGCUGCUGGAUCUCAUGUGGCUUCUUAUGGAGGAGUAUGAAGUGCACGAGUGCCUCAAGCAGCUACUGAUGUCCCUGCUGCGGGCUUACAGGUUCUCCCCCAUCGUCCCAGACCUGGGAUUACAAAUUCACUACCUCCGGCUCACCAUAGCAGUCUUGAAGCAUGAGAAAUCCAGAAAAUACUUACUCAGCAAUGUUCUCUUUGAUGUGCUCCGUUCUGUUGUAUUCUUCUACAUAAAGAGCCCACUGCGUGUGGAGGAGGCUGGUUUGCAGGAGCUCAUUCCAACCACAUGGUGGCCAAACCGCUUCACCAAGGAGGGCAAGGAAAGUAAGGACGUGAAGGAGGAAAGUGCUGAGGAGAGACUGAGGCGGCGGGCGUAUGAAAGAGGCUGCCAGCGGCUGAAGAAACGCAUUGAAGUGGUGGAAGGUCUCCAGGUUCAGAUUCUGAAGCUGCUGCUGAACAACAAGGACAGAGGAGGGGGGGAAGCCUCCAGAUACAUCUUCCUAAACAAAUUCCGCAAGUUUCUUCAGGAAAACGCUAGCAAUAGAGGGAACUUGACUGUGUUGUGCCCGCCAGAGUACAUGGUGUGCUUCCUGCACCGCCUUAUUGCUGCCCUGCGUUUCUUCUGGGAUGGCCACAAGGCAAAAAGCCCAGCCACAGUGAGCAGUGAAGAGGCAUAUGUCCCUCCUCAACUAUUCUAUAAUGGCAAGGUGGAUUAUUUUGACCUUCAGCGACUUGGAGGUCUCCUGUCUCAUCUUAAGAAGACUCUGAAAGAUGACCUGGCUACAAAAGCCAAUGUGCUGAUUGACCCUGCGGAGCUGCAGGCAGUCACUAUGGAUGAUCUCGAUGAAGAUGAGGAAUCAGCAACAUCAGCAGCACAAUCCCAGCGUCCCUCUGCUGCCCUGGCCAUUGGAGGAGCUCUUGCCAGACCUGGCUGGCUCAGCUCCCCCACUUUGGGCCGUGCCAACCGCUUCCUCAGCACAGCAGCCGUCAGCCUGAUGAACCCACGGCGGCCUCUUGGAGCUCUGGAGAAGAUUAAAGUGCGCACACUAAGUGUGGAGCAGCGGACAGAGGAGGACAUUGAAGGCAGCCAUGGAAAUGAGGGUCUCUUACUGGGCAAACCCCCAGAGGAGCCAGAUCAGCCCAUCACAGAGAACUCUCUCCUGGAAGUCCUGGAUGGGAUAAUCAUGAUGUACAACCUCAGUGUCCACCAGCAGCUUGGGAAGCUUCCAUGGGGGAUCUGGCUGCAUGCUUAUAUGUCUAGGACAAAAUGCCCUCAUUUGUGGUUGGAAUCUGCUGUUUUUCAGAUGGUUGGUGUGUCAGAUGAUGUGAAUGAAUAUGCCAUGGCGCUGAAAGACACAGAGGAAAAAAUCAGCCGCUGCCCAAAGAGGAGGAGAGACAUCCAUGAGGAACUGCUGAAGAGCCAAAAGGUUUUCUCUGAGAAGCUCAAUCACCUAAGCCGACGCCUUGCUUGGAUAAAUGUCACCAUUUAUUCAAAGGAAAAGAUGCAGGAUAUAUAUUGGCUGCUGCGAGUGUGCAUCCGCACCAUCGAGCAUGGGGACAGGACAGGCUCACUUUUCGCUUUUAUGCCGGAGUUCUACCUCAGUGUGGCUAUGAACAGCUACAGUGCACUCAAGAACUACUUUAGCCCUGUAAACAGCAUGGAGGAGCUUCCAGGCUAUGAGGAGACCCUGAUGCGCCUUGCUGCCAUCCUGGCCAAGCAUUUUGCUGACUCAAGGAUUGUGGGCACAGACAUCCGGGACUCCCUGAUGCAGGCGUUGGCCAGCUACGUCUGCUACCCCCACUCACUGCGUGCUGUAGAGAGGAUCCCAGAAGAGCAGCGGAUCUCAAUGAUGAAGAACCUCCUGGCUCCCUAUGAGCAACGACCCUGGGCACAGACCAACUGGAUCCUUGUCAGGCUGUGGCGGGGCUGUGGCUUUGGGUACAGAUACACACGGCUCCCACACCUGCUGAAAACGAAGCCUGAGGAUGCCAGCCUCCCCAGCCUGCAGAAGCCAUGUCCCUCCACCUUGCUGCAGCGGCACAUGGCAGAUCUGCUCAGCAGUGACCGUGACUUGGCCCCCAGCUUCCUCAACAGUGUCCUCAACCAGCUGAACUGGGCUUUCUCUGAGUUCAUCGGCAUGAUUCAGGAGAUCCAGCAGGCAGCAGAGCGCUUGGAGAGGAACUUUGUGGACAGCCGGCAGCUGAAAGUGUGUGCUACCUGCUUUGACCUGUCAGUGAGCUUGCUCAGGGUGCUGGAGAUGACUGUCACACUGGCACCAGAGAUCUUCCUUGACUGGAAUCGACCAUCAUCAGAACUGCUGCUUCGGAGGCUUGCCCAGCUCUUGAACCAGGUGCUGAACCGUGUGACAGCCGAAAGGAACUUGUUUGACAGAGUGGUCAACCUCCGUCUGCCAGGGCUGGAGAGCGUGGACCAUUACCCAAUCCUUGUGGCUGUGACAGGGAUACUGGUCCGGCUGCUUGUGGACACUGAUGCUCAGGGGGUCGAGCGUGCAACGGCGGUGCUGCUGGCGGACCCCUGCUUCCAGCUGCGCUCCAUCCAGUACCUGCUGGGCCACGCUGAGCCCUCAGCCCUGGCAGCCACCGCCCCGGCCCCUGAAAAGCGUCAUUUCUCCCUGCACACCUACACAGAUUACAUCAGUACUGAGGAGCUGGUGAAGGUGGACAAGAUGCUGAACCACCUGAGCGAGGAGUCCAAGCAGGCAGCUGCCACCACACUGCCCACCAGUGAGGAAGACCUCUGCCCCAUCUGCUACGCACACCCCAUCUCAGCCAUCUUCAGACCCUGUUCCCACAAGUCUUGCAAAGCCUGCAUCAACCAGCACCUGAUGAACAACAAGGACUGCUUCUUCUGCAAGGCCACCAUUACAGGGGUGGACGACUUUACCAAGCCAGCCAGCUCCUAGAGCCCAGCCCCACACCAUGGGUUCCCCGCCGCACGCCAGCUCCUCCCCAGAUACUCAUGCUGCCCAGAGCAGGGGGGCUGCACUCUGGUGGUGGGGGUGCAGCAUCCCACUGCUGAGCGUCUGGACCAUAGCAGCCCCCUUGCCCCAUGGGCCGUUCUCAGGGAGGGGAGCCCAAGGCCUCAGCUCUGCGGCAGCACUGGGAACACGCGGCAGUCCCAGGCCGGGGCAGGGGGCCGGGCUGGGUGUUCAGGCUGUUACCUUGCCCAUGGCUGGGGCCUGAUUUCAUGAAAUGCAGCAUUAAAUUAUUCUUCCUUA